rnacentral:rRNA from 1 species
AUUGAACGCUGGCUGCAGGCCUAACACAUGCAAGUCGAGCGAGCGGCGGACGGGUGAGUAAUUUCUGGGAAACUGCCUGAUGGCGGGGGAUAACUCCUGGAAACGGUAGCUAAUACCGCAUACCAUCAGAUUUUCCCAGAUGGGAUUAGCUGGUAGGUGGGGUAAUUGCUCACCUAUGCGACGAUUCCUAGCUGGUCUGAGAGGCGGACCAGCCACGAUGGAACUGAGACACGGUCCAGACUCCUACGGGAGGAAGCAGUGGGGAAUAUUGCACAAUGGGCGCAAGCCUGAUGCAGCCAUGCCGCGUGUAUGAAGAAGGCCUUCGGGUUGUAAAGUACUUUCAGCGGUGAGUCGUUACCCGCAGAAGAAGCACCGGCUAACUCCGUGCCAGCAGCCGCGGUAAUAC